GUCCCUAUGGCGCAAUGGAGAUAGCGCAUUGGUCUUCUAUUCCAAAGGUCGUGAGUGAAUCCCACCUGGGAUG